GACGAACGCUGGCGGCGUGCUUAACACAUGCAAGUCGAACGGCAAGGCCCUGCUUUUGUGGGGUGCUCGAGUGGCGAACGGGUGAGUAACACGUGAGUAACCUGCUCUUGACUUUGGGAUAACUUCAGGAAACUGGGGCUAAUACCGUAUAGGAGCUCCUGCUGCAUGGUGGGGGUGGGAAAGUUUCGGCGGUUGGGGAUGGACUCGCGGCUUAUCAGCUUGUUGGUGGGGUAGUGGCUUACCAAGGCUUUGACGGGUAGCCGGCCUGAGAGGGUGACCGGCCACAUUGGGACUAAGAUACGGCCCAGACUCCUACGGGAGGCAGCAGUGGGGAAUAUUGCACAAUGGGCGGAAGCCUGAUGCAGCAACGCCGCGUGCGGGAUGACGGCCUUCGGGUUGUAAACCGCUUUCGCCUGUGACGAAGCGUGAGUGACGGUAAUGGGUAAAGAAGCACCGGCUAACUACGUG
rnacentral:rRNA from 1 species